rnacentral:rRNA from 1 species
CCCUUAGAUGUCCUGGGCCGCACGCGCGUUACGCUGAUGCAUUCAACGAGCUUAUAACCUUGGCCGAGAGGCCUGGGCAAUCUUGUUAACGUGCAUCGUGAUAGGGAUAGAUUAUUGAAAUUAUUAAUCUUGAACGAGGAAUUCCUAGUAAACGCAGAUCAUCAAUCUGCAUUGAUUACGUCCCUGCCCUUUGUACACACCGCCCGUCGCACCUACCGAUUGGAUGGUCCGGUGAAGCCUCGGGAUUGUGGUUCUUGCCGCUUUAUUGUAGCGUGACCGCGAGAACUUGUCUAAACCUUAUCAUCUAGAGGAAGGUGAAGUCGUAACA